GGGGAUGUAGCUCAGUGGUAGAGUGCUUGCCUACCAUAUAUGAGGCCCUAGGUUCAACCCCCAGUAAACUCC
rnacentral:tRNA from 1 species